UACAGAGGGUGCAAGCGUUGUUCGGAAUUACUGGGCGUAAAGGGCUCGUAGGCGGCCCACUAAGUCCGACGUGAAAUCCCCAGGCUUAACUUGGGAACUGCGUCGGAUACUGGUGGGCUUGAAUCCGGGAGAGGGAUGCGGAAUUCCAGGUGUAGCGGUGAAAUGCGUAGAUAUCUGGAGGAACACCGGUGGCGAAGGCGGCAUCCUGGACCGGCAUUGACGCUGAGUGAGCGAAAGCCAGGGGAGCAAACGGG
rnacentral:rRNA from 1 species